UACGUAGGGCGCAAGCGUUAUCCGGAUUGAUUGGCGUUAAAGGAGUCACGUAGGCGGUUUGGUCGGUCGUUCGUGCCGUGAAAGUCCGGGGACUCGAACUCCGGUACUCUGACGGUGGGUACGGGCAGACUAGAGUGAUGUAGGGGAGACUGGAAUUCCUGGUGUAGCGGUGAAAUGCGCAGAUAUCCGGAGGAACACCUGCGGCGAAGGCGGGUUGCUGGGCUGACACUGACGCUGAGGCGCGAAAGCC
rnacentral:rRNA from 1 species